CUUUUUCCCUGACUUGCGACGGCAGAGCAGCCCCCACCCCUAUUCGAGAUUGCAUCCUAAUUGGUCAAGGUUUCGGUGGAUUUGAUUGAUUAACGGUUAAGCGGGCACUUAGUCUAACCGAGCAAACCGAAGGUCCAUAGGUACUAUGAAAGCAGGAACUUGCUGGCUGGAGGGCGUGAGUGGUCAUGGUUGCUUACUGGAUUUAUUAUCAG